GGGGAAUUAGCUCAAAUGGUAGAGCGCCCGCUUUGCAUGCGGAAGGUACCGGGAUCGAUGCCCGGAUUCUCCA
rnacentral:tRNA from 1 species